GAGGCAGCAGGCCGUAAAUUACCCAAUCCUGACUCAGGGAGGUAGUGACAAGAAAUAACGGACCGAGGCUAAUGCUUCGGGAUUGCAAUGAGUAGAAUUUAAACCCCUUUACGAGGAUCAAUUGGAGGGCAAGUCUGGUGCCAGCAGCCGCGGUAAUUCCAGCUCCAAUAGCGUAUAUUAAAGUUGUUGCAGUUAAAAAGCUCGUAGUUGGAUUUCUGGGAGGGCGCCAAUGUCCGCUCGUUCGCGUGUGCAGCGGCGCCCUUCCAUCCUUCUGUUAACGUUUCUUGGUAUUCAUUUACUGGUUUCGGGCUCAGAUAUUUUACCUUGAGAAAAUUAGAGUGUUCCAGGCAGGCUUGCGCCGGAAUACAUUAGCAUGGAAUAAUAGAAUAGGACUUUAAUCUCCUUUGUUGGUUUGAGGGAUUGAAGUAAUGAUUAAUAGGGAUAGUUGGGGGCAUUAGUAUUUAAUUGUCAGAGGUGAAAUUCUCGGAUUUGUUAAAGACUAACUUAUGCGAAAGCAUUUGCCAAGGAUGUUUUCAUUAAUCAAGAACGAAAGUUAGGGGAUCAAAGACGAUCAGAUACCGUCCUAGUCUUAACCAUAAACUAUGCCGACUAGGGAUCGGAGGCGCGCUUUAUCCGCCUUCGGCACCUUAUGAGAAAUCAAAGUCUUUGGGUUCUGGGGGGAGUAUGGUCGCAG
rnacentral:rRNA from 1 species